rnacentral:rRNA from 1 species
AACGGGUGAGUAAUGCAUCGGAACGUGCCCAGUCGUGGGGGAUAGCCCGGGGAAACCCGGAUUAAUACCGCAUACGACCUGAGGGUGAAAGCGGGGGACCGAAAGGCCUCGCGCGAUUGGAGCGGCCGAUGUCGGAUUAGGUAGUUGGUGGGGUAAAGGCCUACCGAGCAUGCGAUCCGUAGCUGGUCUGAGAGGACGACCAGCCACACUUUUUCUGAGACACGGGAAAGACUCCUAC